UAGGGAAUCUUCGGCAAUGGGGGGAACCCUGACCGAGCAACGCCGCGUGAGUGAAGAAGGUUUUCGGAUCGUAAAGCUCUGUUGUUAAGGAAGAACGAGUGUGAGAAUGGAAAGUUCAUGCUGUGACGGUACUUAACCAGAAAGGGACGGCUAACUACGUGCCAGCAGCCGCGGUAAUACGUAGGUCCCGAGCGUUGUCCGGAUUUAUUGGGCGUAAAGCGAGCGCAGGCGGUUAGAAAAGUCUGAAGUGAAAGGCAGUGGCUCAACCAUUGUAGGCUUUGGAAGCUGUUUAACUUGAGUGCAGAAGGGGAGAGUGGAAUUCCAUGUGUAGCGGUGAAAUGCGUAGAUAUAUGGAGGAACACCGGUGGCGAAAGCGGCUCUCUGGUCUGUAACUGACGCUGAGGCUCGAAAGCGUGGGGAGCGAACAGG
rnacentral:rRNA from 1 species